AGUGAACGCUGGCGGUAGGCCUAACACAUGCAAGUCGAACGGCAGCACAGUAAGAGCUUGCUCUUACGGGUGGCGAGUGGCGGACGGGUGAGGGAUACAUCGGAAUCUACUUUUUCGUGGGGGAUAACGUAGGGAAACUUACGCUAAUACCGCAUACGACCUGCGGGUGAAAGCAGGGGAUCUUCGGACCUUGCGCGAUUGAAUGAGCCGAUGUCGGAUUAGCUAGUUGGCGGGGUAAAGGCCCACCAAGGCGACGAUCCGUAGCUGGUCUGAGAGGAUGAUCAGCCACACUGGAACUGAGACACGGUCCAGACUCCUACGGGAGGCAGCAGUGGGGAAUAUUGGACAAUGGGCGCAAGCCUGAUCCAGCCAUACCGCGUGGGUGAAGAAGGCCUUCGGGUUGUAAAGCCCUUUUGUUGGGAAAGAAAAGCAGCAGGUUAAUACCCCGCUGUUCUGACGGUACCCAAAGAAUAAGCACCGGCUAACUUCGUG
rnacentral:rRNA from 1 species